rfam:Ictidomys tridecemlineatus contig006742, whole genome shotgun sequence.
GGGGUUGUGGCUCAUUGAUAGAGCACUUACCUAGCACGUGUGAGGCGCUGGGUUUGAUCCUCAGCACCACCU